AUAAGAUUUGGAAGUGUCUGAAAAUGCACUCCCCUUUAAAAUACGUGCCUGCAUAACACCAGACUUGGAUGUUGAUGCACGAAUGGCAAAGAAAAAGGAGAUCCUUUAGACUAGAGCAGGCAGUGGAAUUUGUUACAGCCAAUUGUGAAGUGUUGAUGAGUCAAACAUGAGAUUUAAAGCGGAGUGUUCAGCCUGCAACUACCCUGACUUAAAACAUUCCUCUCAGACAUUCACACAGGACCAGAACAGACAGUCAUAGUCUUCUGCUUUGAAAACAUCUCUCUGGUGUAGCGUGAUAAGAUUCCACUCUCUCCUACACAACAAAAGAAGAUAAAUACCUGUGAACAUCAGUCUUAUGCCUCCUAUGAAACACAACUCAUCUUCAGCCUUCUACAUCCGUCAUUUCAAACACAGAGAUGAAACUAUUCACUGGGCUAUCCCAACUCCCAGGUCUUUCCAAGGGAAAAGAGAAUCCUCGAAAAGGAAAAUAUUCUACAGAAUUUGUUACAUUGUGAAAAUUGUUUCCAAUCAAAGGCAAGUGGUCAGUAGCCUGUUGCACUCUGAAGUGUCUUCUGGAUUCUUAAUUCAAUAUCCACAUGGCUUCUGUAACUAUAAAAUCUCUUUCCACAGUUAAAGGCUUCUUCCAUGACUUGAAGACAUGACCAAAGCACACUACAUCUUUCUCUGGAUCAACUCUGGAUCCUCUGGAUCAACUACACUAUCCCACUGUACAUGGCGGCAGAUGGAAGUUACAGAGUUCAUAAAUAAGAGAGGGAAGAACACAUUCCCAAUGAUCCAAUAUGCCAGGAGCCAAAAUCAAAUUGAUCUUCCAAGUCACACAGUGAGAAGAUUGCACCCUCUCCUGGUGCAACCAGGAUCAAGAUUCCAAAGACAAGACCUGCAAUACAACAGACGCAGUGACAAAGGGUGGCAGAAUUCCACCUCUUCUGUUGACAUCUCACCUAUGGAAUAUGAUUGUGAUCUCAAAACUUACUCUUACCAGAAUGAAACAAAAGGUUCAGGUCACAAUAACUCACAAUUCCAUAGGAAUUUUCUCCAUGAGAAUAAAUGGAAAAAGCAUCAAUGAAAAUUUUGUCACAUUGCACUGUUGCUUAAUGCACUGCACAGGAAAGGGGGAGUAUACAUGAACUCCUGUGGUCGUGGUCUUCACUGAACCAGGGAACACAGAAAACACAGGGGAGGCCACAGCAGCCUUGUGUGACAACUGGUGCUAAAUCUUCCCAGAAAAUCUCCCAGAAAAGGCACUAGUCCACCUGUUCAUUUUAUUUUCAGUCCUGUAACCUUGGCCUGGCUGACAUAUGGACUUCCUGAGCACCACAGAUCUACCUGCUCUAAGUACGAGGUUUCUCAGACAGCCUUUUGGAAGAAGCAAGAAAACUCUUCCACAUGCAGAACCCAGGGUUAAAAAAUACACUUAUUAGUAGCAUGCAAGAAACACACCUCCUAGUACAUCAAGGCUACUGCAAAAAGGCAUCUUUCACCUUGGUUUUGACAAAAUUCCUCUCCCCACAGUGAACAUAAUUUAUCUGAUGGAUUUCUCUUUGAAAUGAGGAAUGAAGUCCAUCUCUGUAACUUUACUGAAUAUGAAAUAACAAUUAUAUAGAAUCUAAAUAUACCGAACACUUUCCUGCUCUCCAUCCCUCACAUGAAUCCAGUAUCACUCUUGUGCCUAAACAGAAGCAUUAGAGACAGCACUCAUCCAUUUUUCAGUGUAAAAAGCAACCUUGUAAAUGCUAAGAACCAGCAUAAGAACCUUGGAAAGACUGUCAAUGAGCGUAGCGUGUUUUUUGGCAUUUCAUUCCUGGGUUGUGGGGUCUUUUUCCUUAGUUUCUUAUUCAGCAUAUAUGUAUACAUCUCACUAUUUAUCUUCCUCCCUAUCCACCUAUCCAUAAGAUUAACAAGGGGCAUGCUAAGUGCAUUAGUGUGUGGCUGCAUGCAAAGACAGAUAUGUAUCCCUCCUUUAUGACCAGAUGCCCCUUCCUGCAAUUUCUUCCACUGGCAUCUCUUACUGCCACUGUGCAGAGGCAUGUCCCUUCAUGACCUAAUUUUCAAGAGAUCAUAGGCAUAAUGGAGUUGGACUUCACCUACACACAUUGUGCAAUUAUUCAUGUAUUUUAUCUGGUGAAUAUUUUCACUAGGAUUUCCCCCUUGAACUAAAAUAUCCUAGCCUCUACAGACCAGUUUAGUCUUGAGAAAAUCAGUCCGAGUCUGUACCUUCCUUGUGCUGGUCUCUAAGACAGAUGCACUGGAUCAGGGCAGCAGUGACAGGUGAGACAUGAGCUACCAGCAGGGAAGGACUCUGCUAGACUUGAAAGCUGGAUUCUUCCAUAUGGGCAAACAUUUCUCAGUGUCAAAAGAGAAGGGCAAGGCCUGGAACAAUAGACUCUCUUGCUGGGACAUGAAUCCCACAGGGCAGAGUGAGGGGGAGUUUUAAAAUGUGGGUACUGUGCUGAAACAGCCAUGUCACACCCUCCAGCUCACCCAUAUAACUCCAGAUAAAAUUAAUCUGGAAUUAUGUCUGAAGAAAAGAGACUGUAUCCUCCAUACUUCUUCUCUGGCCCCACAGAAGAACCCCAGGCCUUGGAGAAGAGAACAAGGAGUGCAGAGAAAAGAACAUGUGGUGUUAUGAGUCAGCAAUGGAAAGAACUGCCCAGGAUGAUUAUCUCUAAACUCAAGAAGGGAUA